UACAGAGGUGGCAAGCGUUGUUCGGAAUUACUGGGCGUAAAGGGCGCGUAGGCGGCCAUCUAAGUCAGACGUGAAAUCCCCCGGCUCAACCGGGGAACUGCGUCUGAUACUGGAUGGCUUGAGUUCGGGAGAGGGAUGCGGAAUUCCAGGUGUAGCGGUGAAAUGCGUAGAUAUCUGGAGGAACACCGGUGGCGAAGGCGGCAUCCUGGACCGACACUGACGCUGAGGAGCGAAAGCCAGGGGAGCAAACGGG
rnacentral:rRNA from 1 species